AACGAACGCUGGCGGCAUGCCUAACACAUGCAAGUCGAACGAGAUCUUCGGGUCUAGUGGCGCACGGGUGCGUAACGCGUGGGAAUCUGCCCUUUGGUUCGGAAUAACAGUUGGAAACGACUGCUAAUACCGGAUGAUGACGGAAGUCCAAAGAUUUAUCGCCAGAGGAUGAGCCCGCGUAGGAUUAGCUAGUUGGUGUGGUAAAGGCGCACCAAGGCGACGAUCCUUAGCUGGUCUGAGAGGAAGAUCAGCCACACUGGGACUGAGACACGGCCCAGACGCCUACGGGAGGCAGCAGUGGGGAAUAUUGGACAAUGGGCGAAAGCCUGAUCCAGCAAUGCCGCGUGAGUGAUGAAGGCCUUAGGGUUGUAAAGCUCUUUUACCCGGGAUGAUAAUGACAGUACCGGGAGAAUAAGCUCCGGCUAACUCCGUGCCAGCCGCCGCAGUAA
rnacentral:rRNA from 1 species